rnacentral:ncRNA from 18 species
CGACACCCCGGAGGCGAAGAAGCGCUGCCUGAGCGUUGGGCGCCAGUGGGCAGCGUGGAGCCAGUGGCGCACCCGGCCGGGAUAUCC